CCUACGGGAGGCAGCAGUGAGGAAUAUUGGUCAAUGGGCUUACGCCUGAACCAGCCAAGUCGCGUGAGGGAAGACUGCCCUAUGGGUUGUAAACCUCUUUUGUCAGGGAGCAACGCCGGCUACGUGUAGCCGGACUUGGAGUACCUGAAGAAAAAGCAUCGGCUAACUCCUUGCCAGCAGCCGCGGUAAUACGGAGGAUGCGAGCGUUAUCCGGAUUUAUUGGGUUUAAAGGGUGCGUAGGUUGUUUUUUAAGUCAGCGGUGAAAGUUUGUUGCUCAACCAUAAAAUUGCCGUUGAAACUGGAAGACUUGAGUGUGUUUGAGGUAGGCGGAAUGCGUGGUGUAGCGGUGAAAUGCAUAGAUAUCACGCAGAACUCCGAUUGCGAAGGCAGCUUACUAAGCCAUAACUGACACUGAAGCACGAAAGCGUGGGGAUCAAACAGGAUUAGAUACCCCAGUAGUC
rnacentral:rRNA from 1 species